rnacentral:rRNA from 1 species
AAUGAACGCUGGCGGCAUGCCUAACACAUGCAAGUCGAACGAAGCCUUCGGGCUUAGUGGCGCACGGGUGCGUAACGCGUGGGAAUCUGCCCUUGGGUUCGGAAUAACAGUGGGAAACUACUGCUAAUACCGAAUGAUGUCGUAAGACCAAAGAUUUAUCGCCCAGGGAUGAGCCCGCGUAGGAUUAGCUAGUUGGUGUGGUAAAGGCGCACCAAGGCGACGAUCCUUAGCUGGCUGAGAGGAUGAUCAGCCACACUGGGACUGAGACACGGCCCAGACUCCUACGGGAGGCAGCAGUGGGGAAUAUUGGACAAUGGGCGAAAGCCUGAUCCAGCAAUGCCGCGUGAGUGAUGAAGGCCUUAGGGUUGUAAAGCUCUUUUACCCGGGAUGAUAAUGACAGUACCGGGAGAAUAA